ensembl:lncRNA
CUAUGCCCAAAGAACCUGCCGCCCGGAAGCAACAACUUCCAUCAAACGGCAAAGAAAAGUUCCUAGGGAGAGAGCUUAGCGCCCAAGCAGCCUGCGCUAGUGCCGAGACAGAACAGGAGAGCAGCAGACAGUGCAGGCCGGGCCAGCCUGCAGGCGGUGGCUGCGGCGGCGCUGGUAGGGCAGACCCGGGCUCCGGAAGGCUCCAGGUCCGGGGGUGGCCGCCGGCCUUGGGCACAGUGCCGGCUUUCGCACCCCUCCCCACGACCGCGAGCAGUGGGCGGAGAGAUUAGAGCAAAGGAAAAGACGGACAAUGCCUGGCCGGGCCGGCGACCUCCGUGCGGCCCCCGCCGGCCCGUCCCUACUCGGGCGGCCAGCUACCGGGCUAAGUUUCCUAAGCCCUGCCUCCAGCCCCGGCGGCGAAAGCUCGGCCGCCGCCUUCCUCCCAGCCGGGCGGUUCCCGCGAGUCUGCGAGGAGGAGGCAGCGUGCGAGCCGAGCCGGGCGCGCAAGGAGGCGGCGCGCGAGGUAAGCGGACGCGCGGGGAGCCGGCGGCGCGCGCCGAAUGAGGCCGGGCGCGCGCGGGGGGACCCGGCACGAAGAGGAAGGAGCGCGGUGGGGAGUUGGGAGCGCGGGGCUCCCCCGGGACCCCCCGCAGCUCCGACGGGGUUUCAGUUGACUCGGACUGCACCGCAGCGAGAGUCCGUUAGGAGUCUCCGCCUGGGCGCGCAGCUGGCCGACCAUCCCGGCCCGCCUCCCCCUCGCUCCCACCAGGAAGGGCAGCCGGGCGAGAGCCAGUGACCUCUCCUCCCGCCAGUGACAGGAACAAGUCUGGCACCAUCAAAGAAGAGCAGAAAUCCAAGUUGCCAAGUCAGAGUGAAGAAGAGAGAGAAGGACAAGUAUGAGUAUUUCAAUGAUAUCUUUCCAUAUCAAUCCAUGUAUUAAUCAGGACUCUCCAUGACAUAAGGAUUAGACAGCAGUUCAAACCAGAUUCGAUUAAAAAGAGACUUCUUUCUUGCUCAUUCAACUAUAAGGUCCAGAGACACCAUAGAUCUGCACCCCAUCUGCAGAUGGAUCCAAGCACACUGAAGAUAACAUCAAAAACCUGUCUUUCUUUUCCCUUCUGGUCCCUGCUUUCCUCUGCCGUGGUUUCCUUCCCAGCAGGCAUCAGCUGCUUAGCAACUGAUGAAGAGUGUGAGGAGUGUGUUUCUUUCCUGAUAAACUUUCAGCCCAGAACGAACAAUCACCAGUCCAGCGUGAGUUGUGGACCACUGGUAGGACUGGAUAGAAGAAUCAACCUCACCCUCACCACACUAACUGAAAGUGAUACUUCUCUUCAAAGGAAAAUCAGAGCACAUUACAGAAAGAAAGAAGAAAAGAAGCUGGGCAGCUCGAAUGAGAUAGAUUAGGGCAUGGCAAAGGCUGGCUGGGGAAGUAGGCGUGACCUGUUAACUACAAGAUCCGGGACACAUGUGCUUAAAUGUUCUCCAAAGCCCUGCACGUGGACUUCUGGCUAACCCGACCAGGUUUUCAACAGGAUGGCCUAGACCUGAGAUCAGCCUGAGGCGUGGGAUCCAAGCACCGGCUCUGAGAACCCAGAUAUAGAAGUUCUCGCGGUUUCCUCAAAAUUUGGACGCUAUUAAAGAAAGGCAGCCAGGAGGAGCAGCUAUCUUGGCUUUCCAAGAAAGCCCAUGCUGGGUUUUUUUGUUUUUGUUUUUUUUUUUUUUUGGUACUGGGGAUCGAACUCGGGUCCGCUUGCAUAGCAGGCGGCAAAAACACUGAGCUAAAUCCCCGGCCCUAACCCAUGCUGCUUUUACCUUUGCUCUUACCCUCUUUUUGUCUUUACUUGGACCAGG